rnacentral:rRNA from 1 species
UACGUAGGGUCCGAGCGUUGUCCGGAAUUAUUGGGCGUAAAGGGCUCGUAGGCGGUUCGUCACGUCGGGAGUGAAAACUCGGGGCUUAACUCCGGGCCUGCAGUGGGUACGGGCAGACUAGAGUGCGGUAGGGGAGACUGGAAUUCCUGGUGUAGCGGUGAAAUGCGCAGAUAUCAGGAGGAACACCGGUGGCGAAGGCGGGUCUCUGGGCCGUAACUGACGCUGAGGAGCGAAAGCGUGGGGAGCGAACAGG